AUGACGAUCAGAAUCUUUGUGGCUCUUAUGCUGAUCACUGAAAUGGGAUCCAACCGAAAAACUCACACAGUAGUACAGCAGCCUGUGCCUGACACAGUGCAGCCAGGAGACUCUGUGACCCUGCAGUGUACAAUAGAGACUGGGAGCUGUGCAGGAGAACACAGUGUUUACUGGUUCAGACAUGGAUCAGGAGAAUCUCUUCCAGGAGUCAUUUACAGCCACGGAAACAGGAGUGAUGAGUGUGAGAAGAGCCCUGAGGCUGGAUCUCCUACACGGAGCUGUGUCUACAGCCUCCCCAAGAGGAACCUCAGCCCCUCUGAUGCUGGGACUUACUACUGCGCUGUGGCCAUGUGUGGGGAGAUGCUGUUUGGCAAUGGGACAAAGGUUCACGUAGAAGAUGAAUAG